rnacentral:rRNA from 2 species
UCUUCAACCGCGUGUCGGAUAUUGGGCGUAAGCGCGCGCAGGUGGUUCCUUAAGUCUGAUGUGAAAGCCCACGGCUCAACCGUGGAGGGUCAUUGGAAACUGGGGAACUUGAGUGCAGAAGAGGAAAGUGGAAUUCCAAGUGUAGCGGUGAAAUGCGUAGAGAUUUGGAGGAACACCAGUGGCGAAGGCGACUUUCUGGUCUGUAACUGACACUGAGGCGCGAAAGCGUGGGGAGCGAACAGGAUUAGAUACCCUGGUAGUCCACGCCGUAAACGAUGAGUGCUAAGUGUUAGAGGGUUUCCGCCCUUUAGUGCUGCAGCUAACGCAUUAAGCACUCCGCCUGGGGAGUACGGCCGCAAGGCUGAAACUCAAAGGAAUUGACGGGGGCCCGCACAAGCGGUGGAGCAUGUGGUUUAAUUCGAAGCAACGCGAAGAACCUUACCAGGUCUUGACAUCCUUUUGCCCUCCCUAGAGAUAGGGACUUCCCUUCGGGGACAAAAGUGACAGGUGGUGCAUGGUUGUCGUCAGCUCGUGUCGUGAGAUGUUGGGUUAAGUCCCGCAACGAGCGCAACCCUUGAUCUUAGUUGCCAGCAUUUAGUUGGGCACUCUAAGGUGACUGCCGGUGACAAACCGGAGGAAGGUGGGGAUGACGUCAAAUCAUCAUGCCCCUUAUGACCUGGGCUACACACGUGCUACAAUGGAUGGUACAAAGAGCUGCAAACCCGCGAGGGUAAGCGAAUCUCAUAAAGCCAUUCUCAGUUCGGAUUGUAGGCUGCAACUCGCCUACAUGAAGCCGGAAUCGCUAGUAAUCGUGGAUCAGCAUGCCACGGUGAAUACGUUCCCGGGCCUUGUACACACCGCCCGUCACACCACGAGAGUUUGUAACACCCGAAGUCGGUGAGGUAACCGCAAGGAGCCAGCCGCCUAAAGUGGGACAGAUGAUUGGGGUGAGUCGACACAGGGGAAACCCA